GAUACAUCUGAUCAUCAAAAUCAUGCAACAAAUGGAGAGAUGCAACCAUUAUGCUUUGUGAUUUUCACCAUGAGAUAUCAUGGACAGAGUGGGUGAAGAAAAAAGAUCACAAUGUUUACCAGCAUCACAAGAAAAUUUCAAACAUGAUUCGCAAUAUUGCUCAUGCUGAUGACUUGGAAAGUUUUAAUAACUCUCUAAAGAUUCUGCAGACAAAUGAGAUAUGGCAGGAAAAAACUAAUUUUAUCAAUUGUCUUCAACAAAGUGGCUGCCAUCCCAGAAGAUGACUGCAUAAGCAAUUACUAGAUGCUGAAGACUACACAAACUCUGAGAGGGUUGCUCUGGAAAGAAAUCCCAUGUGCAUGGUAUGGUCAUAUCAGGGACAUACAGAAAUAGGGGUUGACUGACGUGUGUUACCAGAAAGAUACGUGGUGGUGAUGUUUCCUGAAAACAUUGAGCCUUGGGGAAAACGCUAAAUAAUGAAUAUUAUAUGAAAGAUGUGGGCUCAUGUUUUCCGAAAUAAAGCUGUUCAAUUCUAAAUAAACACAAACAAUGGAUUAGAGAGGCAAAAUGAAAUCUUGAAACAUGCCUACUUGCGUGAUUACAGGAACUGCAAUCUGAGUGAAUUAAUCCAAGUUCUUCAUAAUCAUUUUUUACCGGACAGCUAUAAAAAAUUUACACAGCUCCAGACUCCUCCAGUUGAAGCUUUACACAGAUCCAGACCUGUCUACUCUUUGGAGCUGCACUGUGUGGCUGGCCUGUCUCACCUCAGGAGAGCGACUCAGCGGAUAACGUGGUACACUGAGCAGAUAAGGUGUUGACGUGGAGCAUAGACACUGUGGUGGUCUCUGCCCUAAAAUUAUAGGAGUACUCCAGCACUUAACAAUUUCUCUCCUAUCCUCAUGAUUGUGAACUGCUGGCACCACUUGGAUUCUACUGAACAAGGCCCUGUGUCUCCCUGUUGCAUGGUGCCUGAGGGUUUUAUGUCCACUAUUAAAUCUCAUUUGGAACUAGAGAUA